rnacentral:lncRNA from 1 species
UUUUUUUCUUUGAGACAGGGUUAACUCUUGUUGUUCAGACUGGAGUGUAAUGGCGUGAUCUCGGCUCACUCCUGAGUAGCUGGUAUUACAGGUGCGCACCACCAUGCCCAGCUAAUUUUUUGUAGACUGUAAACUAGUUCAACCAUUGUGGAAGUCAGUGUGGCAAUUCCUCAGGGAUCUAGAACUAGAAAUACCAUUUGACCCAGCCAUCCCAUUACUGGGUAUAUACCCAAAGGACUAUAAAUCAUGCUGCUAUAAAGACACAUGCACACGUAUGUUUAUUGCGGCACUAUUCACAAUAGCAAAGACUUGGAACCAACCCAAAUGUCCAACAAUGAUAGACUGGAUUAAGAAAAUGUGGCACAUAUACAUGUGCCCUGCGUGGUUUUAUUUGUUGUUGUUGUUGUUGUGUGUGUGUGUGUUUGUUUUUGUUUAGCUUGGAGUUUGCUGAGAUUCAUGGAUCUGUGAGUUCAUACUUUUCAAUCCCCUUUCUGAAACUGUAGUGUCGGGCUUUUUGAUAUGGUGAUGGUGGUGGUCACUGAGGAUCUGCUCCUUUUUUGCCAGUGUUUUAAAAUCUUUAUACCGAUCUUCACUGAGGGUUGUUUUUGGUUUUUGGUUUUGUUUUGUUUUG